UAAAUAUAUAUUAUAAAUAAAUAUUAUAGGACAUUCUUACACAGAUUGACUAAGUCCCACAGUAAGCUCAAGAAGGCUUGUGUUGUGGGUACUCAGACAACGAUAUAUAUAAUAUAUAAUUAAAUAUAAAACACUCAUGGCUCAGGAACAAAUAUUUGUGUUCAUCACACAAAUAAAUGCCCUUACCGGGAUUCGAACCCAGGACUAUCGGCUUCACAGGCAGGGUCACUACCCACUAGGCCAAACAGGUCGUC